UGGGGAAUAUUGGACAAUGGGCGCAAGCCUGAUCCAGCCAUGCCGCGUGUGUGAAGAAGGCCUUCGGGUUGUAAAGCACUUUCAGCGAGGAGGAAGGGUGGUGUGUUAAUAGCACAUCAUUUUGACGUUACUCGCAGAAGAAGCACCGGCUAACUCUGUGCCAGCAGCCGCGGUAAUACAGAGGGUGCAAGCGUUAAUCGGAAUUACUGGGCGUAAAGCGCACGUAGGCGGUUUUUUAAGUCAGAUGUGAAAGCCCCGGGCUCAACCUGGGAAUUGCAUUUGAAACUGGGAAACUAGAGUGUGUGAGAGGGGGGUAGAAUUCCAAGUGUAGCGGUGAAAUGCGUAGAGAUUUGGAGGAAUACCAGUGGCGAAGGCGGCCCCCUGGCACAACACUGACGCUCAGGUGCGAAAGCGUGGGGAGCAAACAGGAUUAGAUACCCUGGUAGUCCACGCCGUAAACGAUGUCUACUAGCUGUUCGUGACCUUGUGUUGUGAGUAGCGCAGCUAACGCACUAAGUAGACCGCCUGGGGAGUACGGUCGCAAGAUUAAAAGCUC
rnacentral:rRNA from 1 species